CAGGGAUUGCCCUAGUAACGGCGAGUGAAGCGGCAACAGCUCAAAUUUGAAAUCUGGCUUUCGGGCCCGAGUUGUAAUUUGUAGAGGAUACUUUUGAUGCGGUGCCUUCCGAGUUUCCUGGAACGGGACGCCAUAGAGGGUGAGAGCCCCGUCUGGUUGGAUGCCAAAUCUCUGUAAAGUUCCUUCGACGAGUCGAGUAGUUUGGGAAUGCUGCUCUAAAUGGGAGGUAUAUGUCUUCUAAAGCUAAAUAUUGGCCAGAGACCGAUAGCGCACAAGUAGAGUGAUCGAAAGAUGAAAAGCACUUUGAAAAGAGAGUUAAAAAGUACGUGAAAUUGUUGAAAGGGAAGCGUUUAUGACCAGACUUGGACUUGGUUAAUCAUCUGGGGUUCUCCCCAGUGCACUUUUCCAGUUCAGGCCAGCAUCAGUUUUCGCCGGGGGAUAAAGGCAGCGGGAAUGUGGCUCUCUUCGGGGAGUGUUAUAGCCCGUUGUGUAAUACCCUGGUGGGGACUGAGGUUCGCGCUUCUGCAAGGAUGCUGGCGUAAUGGUCAUCAACGACCCGUCUUGAAACACGGACCAAGGAGUCGUCUUCGUAUGCGAGUGUUCGGGUGUCAAACCCCUACGCGUAAUGAAAGUGAACGCAGGUGAGAGCUUCGGCGCAUCAUCGACCGAUCCUGAUGUUCUCGGAUGGAUUUGAGUAAGAGCAUACGGGGCCGGACCCGAAAGAAGGUGAACUAUGCCUGUAUAGGGUGAAGCCAGAGGAAACUCUGGUGGAGGCUCGCAGCGGUUCUGACGUGCAAAUCGAUCGUCAAAUAUGGGCAUGGGGGCGAAAGACUAAUCGA
rnacentral:rRNA from 1 species